rnacentral:rRNA from 1 species
UACAGAGGGGGCAAGCGUUGUUCGGAAUUACUGGGCGUAAAGGGCGCGUAGGCGGCCUUCUAAGUCAGACGUGAAAUCCCCCGGCUUAACCUGGGAACUGCGUCUGAUACUGGGAGGCUUGAGUAUGGGAGAGGGAUGUAGAAUUCCAGGUGUAGCGGUGAAAUGCGUAGAUAUCUGGAGGAAUACCGGUGGCGAAGGCGGCAUCCUGGACCAUAACUGACGCUCAGGCGCGAAAGCUAGGGGAGCAAACGGG